rnacentral:rRNA from 1 species
UACGGAGGGUGCAAGCGUUAUCCGGAUUCACUGGGUUUAAAGGGUGCGUAGGUGGACAUUUAAGUCAGUGGUGAAAUCUUUGGGCUUAACCCGAAAACUGCCAUUGAUACUAUUUGUCUUGAAUUCUCUGGAGGUAAGCGGAAUAUGUCAUGUAGCGGUGAAAUGCUUAGAUAUGACAUAGAACACCCAUUGCGAAGGCAGCUUACUACGGAGACGUUGACACUGAGGCACGAAAGCGUGGGGACCAAACAGG